rnacentral:rRNA from 1 species
ACGUAUGGGGCGAGCGUUAUUCGGAUUUAUUGGGCGUAAAGCGUAUGUCGGGGGCUUGUUAAGUCGAGGGUGAAAUUUUCCUGCUCAACAUGAAAAUUGCUUUCGAAACUGGCAAGCUGGAGUUUUGGAGAGGAGAUUGGAAUUCCAGGUGUAGGGGUGAAAUCUGUAGAUAUCUGGAAGAACACCAGUGGCGAAGGCGAAUCUCUGGCCAAAAACUGACCCUUAGAUACGAAAGCCAGGGGAGCAAACGGGAUUAGAUACCCCGGUAGUCCUGGCCAUAAACGUUGAUCACUAGGUGAUGGAGGUAUUCACUUUCAUUGCCAAAGCUAACGCGUUAAGUGAUCCGCCUGGGGAGUACGCUGGCAACAGUG